UACAUCCUGCCCAGUGAAUUAAUUUUUAACGGCCGCGGUAUCCUGACCGUGCAAAGGUAGCAUAAUCACUUGCCUAUUAAUUGUAGGCUAGUAUGAAUGGACAAACGAGAAUUAAGCUGUCUCCUUUAAGACACUAAAAAUUUAUCUUCAAGUGAAGAAGCUUGAAUAAUAUCGCAGGACAAGAAGACCCUAUAGAGCUUUACUUAAUACUUCAAUAUUAAUGAAACAUUGAGUUCGGUUGGGGCGACCUGGGAACAAUCAACAUCCCACCACGAAAAGACUAAUUAGUCAUACAAAUGAUCCUAUUUAUUAGAUCAACAAAUCAAGCUACCUUAGGGAUAACAGGCUAAUCCUUCUUGAGAGUCCAUAUUGACAGAAGGGAUUGGCACCUCGAUGUUGGCUUAGGAUUUCUCUAUGAUGCAGC
rnacentral:rRNA from 1 species